UAAUGUCUGCAAUAAACAUUCAUUGCUGUCGGUGGGUUUUUAUCUCAAUCAACUCACUGAUCAAUGAAUGCAAACUGCGGAUCA
ensembl:miRNA MIR181B2 microRNA 181b-2